ensembl:snoRNA
UGGACCUCUCAUGAACCCACCAUGACGCCUGGUGGCAGAUGUCAUAGGUGAUGAACAUGUGUCUGGAACCCUGAGGUCCAA